rnacentral:lncRNA from 1 species
CAGAUAAGGACAAUUAGCGCCGUUUCCUCUGAAAAAGAUCAACUAAAGAGAAUACAAAAAAUGAGAGCCUAAGACCUAAGAGCAAAAAUACACAAAAAUGGGAGAACCUAAGAGAUCGGUCGUUUCUUGAUUUUAGGAGGGGACAAAAACUCUUCAUCUUCUUCCUAUUCUUUGAAAACAAAAGAACAACAAAAGAGAUCUCUAAAGCAAAAUCUUAGGACCGCCGCUAAUACACAAAGACCCCUCCCCCACCGAGCUUCUUCUUCUUCUUCAAUGAAAGACAAGCACCAUUCGUUUGAUUCUAACCUAGAGAGCUUUCAUUUUCCUAGAAACAUCAGAACCAUCUCCUUCUCAAAAAUCAAAUGUCACAGUCAUCUCUUCUUUGAAUAGAGAUGAAGGAUCUCUUUUCCUAAUUUUGAAAGAACAAAACCGGCGACCACCCCUGUCAUCAUCUUCAGCCACGCCACCCUUCCGAAACCCACCGGAAAAACUCAGUGGAACACUGCUCCAAGCCCACACCUUCUUCACAAAACAGUCACACAUAUACUCACGAGAGAGACAGAAAAUCGGGAUAGAGGGAGAGGAGAAAAGUUCUAGACGAACUUCGAUUGAGGUUUGGUUCUGAGUUCGUUCACCGAUUGGAGAGUUCCAUUGCCAAAUCGAGUUUCGCCAACUGGUUCACGGUCUCAGCUUCAUUCUUUGGCUUUAUUGUUGAUUUCUCUCGACUUUUCGCUGUUGUAUUCACUUGAGGUGAUUCCGAGCAGAAAUAAAUUGAAAUCUCACUUUCAGGUCCAUAUUCUAUCUUUUCCUCUAUUUUUCCAGUGAAUUGAAGUAUGAUAAGUGUUAGGAUUAAAUCAAUUUGGAGAGCAUUUGAGCUAAUUGAAAUUUGAUUUGAGAAGUAUUUGAAUUUUGAAGUGUAUGGAUUAACUAAGGUUGGAUAUGAGUUUGUUGUUGUGCCUUACAUGACUUUAUUUUGUGUGUUUUAAUAUAUUGCUUCAGAUCUGAACGCUUAUGUUUUAUAUGAUCGAUUCGAGCUCGGCAUGGCAACGUAGUUAUUGGAGGGAUCAUGAAAUCAGUGAUGACUUGCUUGCAAUUUUCAUAAGUGUUUCGGCAUGUUCGUGUCAACUUUAAGUUGUUAGACUGUCACUAGAUAUUCUUUAUGUGUUUGUUGAACUAGUUUAGUCAUUCCAACAUUUUGAAGCAUGUCUCGUUGUGCUUAAAUCAGUUUGGUUGAUCAUUGUCGUCAUUUUAGGUACGAAAUAUCGAUGUCAUUGUUCGUGAUCUUCUUGGAAUAUUUGGAGGUUGUUUCUGUUAGCUUGACUUGAGAAAUGAUCUUGAGUCCCUGUUGAUUGUAUGUUUGGCGAUGUACAGAUCGAUCUAUACUUUUGUGAUAAAACAUUGAAGUUCUGUGUAUGUCGAGGUUCGAUACGGCAAUGCCUUAGUUUUCGAUUUCAUGAAAUUGGUUUUGUUUACCUUGUUAAGUUUGAACAUUGGUAUUAGGUUUGCUUGGAAUUUUACAUAUGGAUAUGGAAUCUGUGUAAUUAACCUCCCUGUUCUAGUUUUGAUUGAUUUAGUGGCUGAUUUUUCGGACCAUUCUGUGUUCAUUGCGAGUGUUUGUGAAAGAACCGAGUGCGCGAUGUUGCAUUUAUUCGUAUUUCCAUUGUCCACGUCUUCUGGAAUCCCGCAUCUAUUUUCCUUCUAAAUAAAUGCUCGACAUGUAUUUGGUGUUUGAUUGUGGAAGGCAAUUUGAUCAAGCGAAUUGUGUACUAAUUUGGCGCACCAACUGUUGGUGUAAGUUUGUGACAUCUUCCAAAAGUUGUACUCUUAUUCUAAAUACACGUAGUAGCAAUUUGAAAUCAAGUUCGUCAUCAAAAUACCACUUGAGCAGUAAGCAUCGAUGUGCACGAGUUUAGUCGGUGUAGAUUGCAAUCUGGAUUGUUUCGUUCUAUGUCUGUAUUUCAUUUGCUUCUUUCAGCUAUUUUCCCUAGUUUGAUUGAGCUAUAACUGGAC